UCCUAUUUGAAGAUGGACACCGUAUCCGUAUUGAAAACAGUUUGUUCCAGCCGCCUUAGUUGUUAAUCCCACAUCGCUAAUAUGUCUUUGCAACCCCCUCGGCAUCUAUAUAUAGAUGCAUGCUCUCCGGUUGUGAAUAUCAAUUCACAGUGUUUGCUAAUUUUUCGAGUGCAUAUUUGACAGGUAACUUCUUAUUCUUUCAAUUUCGUCACUCUUUUAUAACCAGCAUAUCUUGUGGUAUAAAAUUAAUAUCUUACUUUAGAAAAGUCUAAAUUACAGUCCGUUUAAUUCUACAGAAGCUAGAUUUUUAUUUCUAGAACAUAUCCGAAAUUCAGAAUUAGAAUCUUCGCGGAUCACCCUAUGUGAUUUCCCGAAGUUAGCCUUAAUUUCUAUCAUGCUGAUAGUUUCAGAUUUGUGCGAUUUCACCAAAAGUUUUAUAUCUUGAUGUAGGAACCUCGGAAUCGCAAACCGUUUGAUUUCUCAAAAACUAGAGUUCAAGAUCUACAACAUAUCCGAAAUUCAGAGUUAAACACUUUCAGGACCGUUCUAGAUGAUUUUUUGAAGUCGGCUCUAUAUUCUAACGCACCAACAUUUUUAGAUUAUCACGGUUUCACCAAAACUUUUGUAUCUCGAUGUUGGAAUGUCGUAAUUGAAAACCGUUUUAAUUGAUAGAAAUUAGACUCAGAGAGCUUCGUUAUCACCAAAAAUAUGACCCAAAUCAUGCCAGAUUAUUCUAGGCAAUGCUUUGACUCAAUUUUCGAAUCUGACACGCCUUGGCAUGUAACUAUUAUUCUUGUACUUGUAUUUUUUUUUUUGCUGCCUUCUUUUUUAUUGUUGUAGGCAAUGGAGAUAUCUUCGUCAAUAAGGUUAGACGCACAUAGAAGGAAAAAUUCAUGGCAACAAAUAGAAGGACAAAUCUUCAACCUCAUAUGGAAGGACAAAUCCAUGACGGUAUAUAGAAGGACUAAUCCAUGGCAGCAUAUAUGGAAGGACAAAUCCAUGACAACAUAUAGAAGUAUCAAAUCCAUGACAUUAUAUAGAAGUAUCAAAUUCAUGACAACAUAUAGAAGUAUCAAAUUCAUGACAACAUAUAGAAGGAUCAAAUCCAUGAAGAGGCCAACGUAAGGUGAAAAGGGACUUGAACGUCCACCUUAAGAUUGGAAAAAUAUAUUUUCUUUUAAGGACAAACCCGCGAAGAGGUCAACUUAAGGUACAAAGGGACUUCAAUGUCCACCUUAAGAUUGAAAAAUUGUAGUUCUUUUUAAGGACAAACCUACGUAGAGGUCAACUUAAGGUGCAAAGGGACUUUAACGUCCACCUUAAGAUUGAAAAAUUAGAAAACUUCAAUUUGAAGGCUUGGCGGACUUUGCAGAUUUCAACUUGAAGACCAACAAAGACAGACUUGAAAAUUUGGUGGACUUUGAUGCUUCAACUUGAAGAGCGGUGGACUUUUAAACUUCAACUUGAAAAAUUAGCAGACUUGAAGACUUCAGCUUUAAGACUUAUAGGGCUUAAAUAAUUCAACUUGAAGACCGGCGAAUUUGAGGACUUCAAAUUGAAGACUGACGUACAUGAAGACUUGGAGGGAUUGAAUACUACAACUUAAAGUUUGGCGGACUUGUAGACUUCAAUUUGAAGGGCAGUAGACUUGCAAAAUUUAACUUGAAGAGCGACAUACGUAAAGAUUUGGAUGGCUUAUAUAAUUCAACUUGAAGACCGACGAACUUGAGGACUUCAAAUUGAAGAUUUGGCCUUCUACUAAAAGUCUACAUCCAUCCAUCGGAGAUGCCAAUUUGCUAUGGUGGCUUACCCCCCAUUGAACCACCAAUCCUUAAUAAGGCACAAAGUUCAUGUAAGCCCAAUUUUUAAGUUCCAAUCAUAUGGAUUAUAUUCCAUCAUUCUUCCUUCGAAUAAUGAAUGGGGGUAACAUGUAUCUUUUGAACUUAUGCGACUGAACUCAGAAUAAAACUCUAAGCUGCCUAUGUACCUCGGUGAAGAAGAUCAAGUUAUACCGUAGUUCAGAAUGGGCGAGUUUUUUUGGGACCGUACACAGUUUAUACUCUUCCAGGCCAGGAGUAACAUAAAAUUUAUGCUCUUGUAUUAAUGAGCAUCAUAACUUACAGUUUAAGCUCGUGUUUUGAGGAGCUUUACAACUUGAAGACUUUGCUCAAAUUUGAAGAGCUUCAUAGUAUGAAUUUUAGGCUCGUGCAUCCAGGAGCUUAGUAAUUUGAAGAUUUAUCUCAAAUUCUAAGAGCUUUAUGACAUGCAGCUUAGGCUCAUGCAUCCAGGAGCGUUACAACUUGAAUAUUUUGCUCAAAUUUGAAGAGCUUCAUGACAUGUAGUUUAGGCUCGUGCAUCCAGGAGCGUUGCAACUUGAAGAUUUUGCUCAAAUUUGAAGGGCUUUAUGACAUGCAGUUUAGGCUCGUGCGUUCAAGAGCGUAGUAAUUUGAAGAUUUAGCUCAAAUUUGAAGAGCUUUGCAACUCGAAGUCUUUGCUCGACUUCGAAGAGCUUUCGAUUUGAGUCUUUGCUCGAAUUUGAAGAGCUUUACAACUUGAACACUUUGCUCGAAUUUGAAUAGCUUUACAAUUUGAAGACUUUGCUCGAACUUGAAGAGCUUUGCA
rnacentral:lncRNA from 1 species